UCAGGAUGAACGCUAGCGGCAGGCUUAACACAUGCAAGUCGAGGGGUAACAGGUAGCUUGCUAUGCUGACGACCGGCGAACGGGUGCGUAACGCGUAUAGAAUCUGCCUUGUACAGGAGGAUAGCCUUUAGAAAUGAAGAUUAACACUCCAUAAUGUUAAUGAGUGGCAUCACUUAUUAAUUAAACAUUUAUGGGUACAAGAUGACUAUGCGUCCUAUUAGCUAGAUGGUAAGGUAACGGCUUACCAUGGCAACGAUAGGUAGGGGGUCUGAGAGGAUUAUCCCCCACACUGGUACUGAGACACGGACCAGACUCCUACGGGAGGCAGCAGUGAGGAAUAUUGGUCAAUGGAGGCAACUCUGAACCAGCUAUGCCGCGUGCAGGAAGACUGCCCUAUGGGUUGUAAACUGCUUUUAUACAGGAAGAAACCGAUCUACGUGUAGAUCCUUGACGGUACUGUAAGAAUAAGGACCGGCUAACUCCGUGCCAGCAGCCGCGGUAAUACGGAGGGUCCAAGCGUUAUCCGGAAUCAUUGGGUUUAAAGGGUCCGCAGGCGGUCAAUUAAGUCAGAGGUGAAAGCCCAUCGCUCAACGAUGGAACUGCCUUUGAUACUGGUUGACUUGAGUUAUACGGAAGUAGAUAGAAUAAGUAGUGUAGCGGUGAAAUGCAUAGAUAUUACUUAGAAUACCGAUUGCGAAGGCAGUCUACUACGUAUAUACUGACGCUCAUGGACGAAAGCGUGGGGAGCGAACAGGAUUAGAUACCCUGGUAGUCCACGCCGUAAACGAUGGAUACUAGUUGUUGGGUUUCGACUCAGUGACUAAGCGAAAGUGAUA
rnacentral:rRNA from 1 species